AUGAUGAACGCUAGCUACAGGCUUAACGCAUGCAAGUCGAGGGGCAUCAGGAAGAAAGCUUGCUUUCUUUGCUGGCGACCGGCGCACGGGUGAGUAACACGUAUCCAACCUGCCCUUUACUCGGGGAUAGCCUUUCGAAAGAAAGAUUAAUACCCGAUGGCAUAAUGAUUCCGCAUGGUUUCAUUAUUAAAGGAUUCCGGUAAAGGAUGGGGAUGCGUUCCAUUAGGUUGUUGGUGAGGUAACGGCUCACCAAGCCUUCGAUGGAUAGGGGUUCUGAGAGGAAGGUCCCCCACAUUGGAACUGAGACACGGUCCAAACUCCUACGGGAGGCAGCAGUGAGGAAUAUUGGUCAAUGGGCGCUAGCCUGAACCAGCCAAGUAGCGUGAAGGAUGAAGGCUCUAUGGGUCGUAAACUUCUUUUAUAUAAGAAUAAAGUGCAGUAUGUAUACUGUUUUGUAUGUAUUAUAUGAAUAAGGAUCGGCUAACUCCGUGCCAGCAGCCGCGGUAAUACGGAGGAUCCGAGCGUUAUCCGGAUUUAUUGGGUUUAAAGGGAGCGUAGGUGGACUGGUAAGUCAGUUGUGAAAGUUUGCGGCUCAACCGUAAAAUUGCAGUUGAUACUGUCAGUCUUGAGUACAGUAGAGGUGGGCGGAAUUCGUGGUGUAGCGGUGAAAUGCUUAGAUAUCACGAAGAACUCCGAUUGCGAAGGCAGCUCACUGGACUGCAACUGACACUGAUGCUCGAAAGUGUGGGUAUCAAACAGGAUUAGAUACCCUGGUAGUCCACACAGUAAACGAUGAAUACUCGCUGUUUGCGAUAUACAGUAAGCGGCCAAGCGAAAGCAUUAAGUAUUCCACCUGGGGAGUACGCCGGCAACGGUGAAACUCAAAGGAAUUGACGGGGGCCCGCACAAGCGGAGGAACAUGUGGUUUAAUUCGAUGAUACGCGAGGAACCUUACCCGGGCUUAAAUUGCAGUGGAAUGAUGUGGAAACAUGUCAGUGAGCAAUCACCGCUGUGAAGGUGCUGCAUGGUUGUCGUCAGCUCGUGCCGUGAGGUGUCGGCUUAAGUGCCAUAACGAGCGCAACCCUUAUCUUUAGUUACUAACAGGUUAUGCUGAGGACUCUAGAGAGACUGCCGUCGUAAGAUGUGAGGAAGGUGGGGAUGACGUCAAAUCAGCACGGCCCUUACGUCCGGGGCUACACACGUGUUACAAUGGGGGGGUACAGAAGGCAGCUAGCGGGUGACCGUAUGCUAAUCCCAAAAUCCUCUCUCAGUUCGGAUCGAAGUCUGCAACCCGACUUCGUGAAGCUGGAUUCGCUAGUAAUCGCGCAUCAGCCACGGCGCGGUGAAUACGUUCCCGGGCCUUGUACACACCGCCCGUCAAGCCAUGGGAGCCGGGGGUACCUGAAGUGCGUAACCGCGAGGAUCGCCCUAGGGUAAAACUGG
rnacentral:rRNA from 1 species